UACGUAGGGUGCGAGCGUUAAUCGGAAUUACUGGGCGUAAGCGUGCGUAGGCGGUCCCGCAAGUCCGCUGUGAAAGCCCCGAGCUUAACUUGGGAACUGCAGUGGAAACUAUGGGACUUGAAUCCGGCAGAGGGGGGUGGGAAUGCCACGUGUAGCAGUGAAAUGCGUAGAUAUGCGGAGGAACACCGAUGGCGAAGGCAAUCCCCUGGGCCUGCACUGACGCUCAUGCACGAAAGCGUGGGGAGCAAACAGG
rnacentral:rRNA from 1 species